rnacentral:lncRNA from 1 species
UAUAUUCUUAGGUGUGGGUCCUUCUAGUUGUGGCAUGUGGGAUCCCGCCUCAGCAUGGCUCGAUGAGCAGGAUUCGAACUGACGAAACACUGGGCUGCCUGCAGUGGAGCACGUGAACUUAACCACUCGGCCACAGGGUCGGCCCCUAGAAGUCUGUUCUGCCGGCCUCUCUGCUGACAGGCUAUAAUUUGGGCCUGAGAAAAAUCUCUACUGUUUACCUUGUGAUUUCUUUGGAGCCCCUGUGGCCGGGCUGGGAUGAGGCCUUGUGGGUGAUGUCUGCUGCUCGCCAAGCCCAGCUCCUUCACAGAGGCAGCAGCUCCCAGACAAGCCUGCUGACAUCCCACUUCCCACUGACUCUGAGCUGCCCACCAGGGCCUCGGGACCGCACACCGUGAAUGCAAACCGUACAGGUGGGAGGAGCAGCAGGGCCUGAGUGGAGUUCUGGAGACGGGUGUGACGAGGUUGAGGUAAGCAUAGAGAUAGGGAAGCUUCCAGUCCUCUGAGGAUGGGCCAGUGGACAUCAGUAGGCUCCAAAAUCUGUCAGGCAGAUGGAUGCAGUUGGGAAAGAAAAGGCUCUGGGUUGGGAAUACUGAGUCCAGUCCUGCUCUGCAAAUAACCAGCCAUGCUGCAAACCCUUUAUCUACAACUCGAGGGAAAGGGCGGGGACAGAGGGUUUUAACCUACAGCCCAUAGGGAGGUUGGAGAAUCUGUGAACUCUAAAAUGAUGUGCACAUUUUUGUGUGUUUGUGCAUCCUCUAGAGGAAAUGGCCCAUAAGAUUUUUUUCAGAUUCUCAAAGGGGUCCCUGACCCAGAAAAAUAAGAACCAGGGUGAUCGCUGAGGUUCUUUCUAUCAUAUAUAUUCUAGAUUUCUAAAUUACAGGCUGCUCAAUCUUGUCAGUAGGUUUCUAAUAUUGAUAGAGGUAUUGUCCAAAUCUGGUCCCCAGGCAAUAUGACUCUGAGGGGACCUGCGGGAUGUGACUCUGAGGGGAGGCUGGAAUGAGAUUUGUGGAAUCACACUUGUAUUUCUUGCCUGUGUUGUGGAAGAAAAUGCACUCUCCAAAUUGCUGUGUUCUUCCUGAGUAAUUGGACACAGAUGCUCCUGUUAGAACCAUUUCCUCUUGUGCCUUGUCCUCAGGCUCCAGGGCGUCUCCUCAGGCAGACAGCUGGCCCUGGCUCCCAUCUCCAUCAUCCUGUUUUCUGGAUGCGAUCUGGUACAGCUUUUGUACCACAUCAGGGCUAGAUGCCACCUGAACCCCAGGGCCCAUGGCUCAGGGAAGAAAACGCCACCUGUGGUCUUCCGCACCUCCCUAAGCCACCCUAGCUUCCAGAUGUGCAGAAGUGGUUUUGUCAGCUUUUUUCUACAAAACCGUGUUUUCCCCUGCUGUCUUUAGAACAGGGCAGAAAUUCAUAAAUAGAGGCAGUUUGGGGCCUGGGGACUUUAGCCUCACGAACUGGAUGAGCUGAACAACCAAUCUCUGAGGAUGUAACACUUUUAUUUCUUGGAUCCUUUUGCCCCCGCACCUCCAACCCUUUCAG